GAUGAAUGCUGGCGGCGUGCCUAAUACAUGCAAGUCGAGCGAACGGACGAGAAGCUUGCUUCUCUGAUGUUAGCGGCGGACGGGUGAGUAACACGUGGAUAACCUACCUAUAAGACUGGGAUAACUUCGGGAAACCGGAGCUAAUACCGGAUAAUAUUUUGAACCUCAUGGUUCAAAAGUGAAUGACGGUCUUGCUGUCACUUAUAUAUGGAUCCGCGCUGCAUUAGCUAGUUGGUAAGGUAACGGCUUACCACGGCAACGAUGCAUAGCCGACCUGAGAGGGGGAUAGGACACAGUGGAAGUGAGAGACGGUCCAGACUCCUACGGGGGGCAGGAGUAGGGAAUCUUCCGAGAUAGGCGAAAGCCUGACGGAGCAACGCGGGGUGAGUGAUGAAGGUCUUCGGAUCGGAAAACUCUGUUAUUAGGGAAGAACAUAUGUGUAAGCAACUGUGCACACCUUGACGGUACCUAAUCAGAAAGCCACGGCUAACUCCGUG
rnacentral:rRNA from 1 species